UACGAUCUUAUCAUAGCGGGAGUUCAUAGAAAAUUCUAGUUCCUUUGCUUCCAAUUUCGACUGAUUUUUAAUGGUAUAUCCAGCAACACUGAGGAAAUUGGGAAGAAGUUAUUACAACGUCCGAACAGUCGAUCAGAUCAGCAGCAUUGUAAAUGAAAUCAAUUGAAAAAUUCGGCAAUCCAAGAAUCUCUUCUCCUUCCGUCGCAUUCGAGCUACAAUUUCCAAUAGCAGCAGCCACGUUCACGUCUCCCCAGUCAAACCACGAAGUAGAAUAGAUAGUUUGUUUUUCAAGUUCUCUUACAAUCUCAUACUCUAAUUCUUCAAGCGCUUCGGUAACAUCGAAUCGGUUCAACGCAAUAUGAUAGUGGUUUGUUUCAACAAGGUUAUGAUGUUUCAUUAUUACCCCGUGAUGACGUGGAGGGCCACCUGUUAAACAACAUCGGAAGUUAAAUGUCUCCAUCUCUCAGAAGAAGAACAGAACACGUGGAGCUGCUGCAAACCGUACGAGAAAACAAACAACAAGCAGAAAAUAUCUGACAGAAGGCAUCUGGCAACAAAAGAAUCUCAUUUCUUCUACACUUUUUUUAUAAAACAUGCAAGUUUAAUCAAAACAAAGCUCUAGCUCCACCAUUGUUAUUUAUAUUUUAUUCUUGUAAACAUUUAGGUAAUCCAUAAUAUUUUAACUGUCACAGAAUUUUUCUUUUUGUUUGCAUUAAUACUAGCUUCACUACUUUAAUGCUGCUACUAAGAAGGAAUUACUAGUUUUAUGAAAAUCGAAUUCUCCAACAUAGUCGGCUUAUAUGUUCAUCAUCAUUCUUGUGUAAAUACACUUAUUUUUUUUGGAAAAUAUUGACUGCAAUAUGUUACCUGAUGAAACGGCGAACCACUCUGAUUAUUUGCUACAAAAACAAUUUGUUUCCGAUCCAAAAGAUGUUCGUAUUUGAACUAAAACCAAAAACAACACAUCACCAUACGGUUACCUCUUCUAAAUCUGUUGCCAAAUAAACCGUAGCAGUAUCUUAAGCCAUCCAGUGCUUGUUUCAUCAAUAUCAUAUACAUUAGACUGUAUAAACCAUUUUAUCUGAUUUAUAAUUGCAUUCAAUUAACUCUUGUUUUGUUUAGUGCAACUUAAUUAGUCAAUGUAAUCAAUUAAUUCCAUUCCCUGCAAAGUGGAUUUAUUUUCUUUUGAUGAUGGUAGUCUAUUUUGACAAUAUGAAAAUGUCAUUGUUCUAAUACAUGUGAUGUGUCCAUUAACAAAUUCUAUUUCUCUUCAAUGUAAAAACAUAGGCACACCUAUGCUGGUUGACAUAUUUACUACAUUGGUUACUAUAUAUUUUUCUUAGUGAGUGAAAAUAGUAGUGGGAGUUUAUAUGCAUUUUUUAUUUGUUGUGUAUUUGAGUUAUGUGGAUUAAUUUAUUCUCGCCUACAAAGCAACUCCGUUUCUGUUA